ACUCGCAGAAUAAGCACCGGCUAACUCUGUGCCAGCAGCCGCGGUAAUACAGAGGGUGCAAGCGUUAAUCGGAUUUACUGGGCGUAAAGCGCGCGUAGGUGGCCAAUUAAGUCAAAUGUGAAAUCCCCGAGCUUAACUUGGGAAUUGCAUUCGAUACUGGUUGGCUAGAGUAUGGGAGAGGAUGGUAGAAUUCCAGGUGUAGCGGUGAAAUGCGUAGAGAUCUGGAGGAAUACCGAUGGCGAAGGCAGCCAUCUGGCCUAAUACUGACACUGAGGUGCGAAAGCAUGGGGAGCAAACAGGAUUAGAUACCCUGGUAGUCCAUGCCGUAAACGAUGUCUACUAGCCGUUGGGGCCUUUGAGGCUUUAGUGGCGCAGCUAACGCGAUAAGUAGACCGCCUGGGGAGUACGGUCGCAAGACUAAAACUCAAAUGAAUUGACGGGGGCCCGCACAAGCGGUGGAGCAUGUGGUUUAAUUCGAUGCAACGCGAAGAACCUUACCUGGUCUUGACAUAGUAAGAACUUUCCAGAGAUGGAUUGGUGCCUUCGGGAACUUACAUACAGGUGCUGCAUGGC
rnacentral:rRNA from 1 species